AUGAGCAAGGAAAGACCCAAGAGGAAUAUCAUUCAGAAGAAAUACCUUAUGACUAGAAAAUGCACCAGUAUAUUAACAGCCAGAAAGUCCAAGCAAGGAUCACAGAACACCAUCAUGAGGAACACCUUUCACAGUGGCAGUGGUUUGAGUGUGUGGAUGCAGUUUGGAGGGAGAAAUGACCCACAAUGGGCAAUGAAGAAACACUCUCCUGCAUGUCACCGUGUAGAUACUUGGAGGGCACAAACUAGCUAG
rnacentral:lncRNA from 1 species